rnacentral:tRNA from 1 species
UGGGGAAUAAUGUAACGGUAGCAUAACUGACUCUGACUCAGUUAGUCUAGGUUCAAAUCCUAGUUCCCCAG